ACUCAAAUGAAUUGACGGGGGCUCACACAAGCGGUGGAGCAUGUGGUUCAAUUCGAGGCAACGCGAAGAACCUUACCCAGCCUUGACUACCAAGGAUUAACUCUUGGAAACAGGAGCCACGCCCGCAAGGGUGGAACUUGGAACAGGUGCUGCAUGGCUGUCGUCAGCUCGUGCUGUGAAGUGUCGGGUUAAGUCCCACAACGAGCGAAACCCCUGUCGUCAGUUGCUAACGGGUUAUGCCGAGGACUCUGGCGAGACUGCCGGCGUUAAGCCGGAGGAAGGUGGGGAUGACGUCAAGUCAUCAUGGCCUUUAUGGCUGGGGCUACACACGUGCUACAAUGCCGGGCACAAACCGACGCCAAGCCGCAAGGCGGAGCCAAUCGGAAAAAACCCGGCCCAGUUCGGAUUGUGGGCUGCAAUUCGCCCACAUGAAGCCGGAAUCGCUAGUAAUCGCGGAUCAGCGAUGCCGCGGUGAAUGUGUUCCUGAGCCUUGUACACACCGCCCGU
rnacentral:rRNA from 1 species